GACGAACGCUGCGGCGUGCUUAACACAUGCAAGUCGAACGAUGAAGCCGGAGCUUGCUCUGGUGAAUUAGUGGCGAACGGGUGAGUAACACGUGAGUAACCUGCCCUUGACUCCGGGAUAACUGCGGGAAACUGUAGCUAAUACCGGAUACGACCCUCGGAGGCAUCUCCUGGGGGUGGAAAGAAUUUCGGUCAAGGAUGGACUCGCGGCCUAUCAGCUAGUUGGUGAGGUAAAGGCUCACCAAGGCGACGACGGGUAGCCGGCCUGAGAGGGUGACCGGGCACACUGGGACUGAGACACGGCCCAGACUCCGACUGGAGGCAGCAGUGGGGAAUAUUGCACAAUGGGCGCAAGCCUGAUGCAGCAACGCCGCGUGAGGGAUGACGGCCUUCGGGUUGUAAACCUCUUUUAGCAGGGAAGAAGCGAAAGUGACGGUACCUGCAGAAAAAGCACCGGCUAACUACGUGCCAGCCGCCGCGGUAA
rnacentral:rRNA from 1 species